rnacentral:rRNA from 1 species
UACGUAGGGGGCAAGCGUUGUCCGGAAUUAUUGGGCGUAAAGAGCGUGUAGGCGGUUCGGUAAGUCUGCUGUGAAAGUCCAGGGCUCAACCCUGGAAUGCCGGUGGAAACUGUCGGGCUAGAGUCCGGAAGAGGCGAGUGGAAUUCCUGGUGUAGCGGUGAAAUGCGUAGAGAUCGGAAGGAACACCAGUGGCGAAGGCGGCUACCUGGACAAAUACUGACGCUGAGGCGCGAAAGCGUGGGGAGCAAACAGG